AUUGAACGCUGGCGGCAGGCCUAACACAUGCAAGUCGAGCGGAUGAGAAGAGCUUGCUCUUCGAGUUAGCGGAGGACGGGUGAGUAAUGCCUAGGAAUCUGCCUGGUAGUGGGGGACAACGUUUCGAAAGGAACGCUAAUACCGCAUACGUCCUACGGGAGAAAGCAGGGGACCUUCGGGCCUUGCGCUAUCAGAUGAGCCUAGGUCGGAUUAGCUAGUUGGUGAGGUAAUGGCUCACCAAGGCGACGAUCCGUAACUGGUCUGAGAGGAUGAUCAGUCACACUGGACGUGAGACACGGUCCAGACUCCUACGGGAGGCAGCAGUGGGGAAUAUUGGACAAUGGGCGAAAGCCUGAUCCAGCCAUGCCGCGUGUGUGAAGAAGGUCUUCGGAUUGUAAAGCACUUUAAGUUGGGAGGAAGGGCAGUAAGCGAAUACCUUGCUGUUUUGACGUUACCGACAGAAUAAGCACCGGCUAACUCUGUGCCAGCCGCCGCAGUAACAC
rnacentral:rRNA from 1 species